CGCGUUGACUUCAUGGACUAGUCACGUUGAUCCAGCACCUGGAAAAUUCAAGUUUAAUCCAUAUGAAGACGAUAAGAACCAGUUCAUCAUUUGGAAUGGACCUUUCCCUUAUUGGAGAAGUGGAGUAUCUGGUGAAUUCUUUAGUACAGAUGAAGUAAAUUCCACAGUAGCCUACCUUUUAUUCAACUUUAACAAAAAUGUUGGGC
rnacentral:misc_RNA from 1 species